AGGGCUGGAGGGGCCCAGGGUGCUGGGCAUAGAGGCACUGGCCCAGGGUGGGCACGUGGCCAGCCGACGUGGGUCACAUUUUUGUCUUAAGGCCUCACCUCUCCCCAAACACCUUUCCCUGUCCCUUGCUCCACAGUGACCACAGCAGGUAGAUGAUUUUCAGGGGGGCUGAGUGUUGAAGGAGGGGAUGCGUCAGGGAGAAGGAGGUGUCAGUCCCUGUGGGGUGUCAGGGGCGGUGUCACAUGCGUGGGAAGGGAUGUCCAGCCCCUCGGUUCUAGCCUCAGCAGGACAGGUCUCCUUGGGAGCCGGACAGGGACCUGUCAGCCCCUUAUUUCUGAGCACACAUCCCCCUCCUUCCUCCCAUGUCCUCUGCGUGCCCGUUCUUGCCGGGGCUGCACCCGGAGGGGAACGAGAGAGGACCCAGCAGGUCGCCUGGAAUAAAGUCAGGAAUUGAAAAGAAUCCUGAUUCAUCGGAGGGCCUCGGCUGCCAAGAAAAUGCUCUUAAAGGCUUUCUUUUCUUCAGCUGCUGCUUCCCAGGAGUGAGGACUUACAGUGUUUGCUUCUCGGCCAACCGUCCGUGACUCAGAGACUGAGGGGCCCGGGCAGGAGAGGGGCCUGAGCUCCAGGUGCGGGGCAGGGAUGGGGUGACUGCGGUCCCGAGUUUGGGAGACCAGGGCCAGGGUGCUAAUAACGCGGGUUAAUCCGUGACGACAUGUUCCGAGCCUCUCCCUGGGCCAGGCGUCAGGCUCCCACUUCCUCAAUCUCACAUCAGCCUCGGGGGCAUCUGCUAACCCCCAUUCCGAUGAAGAGGAAGCCGAGGUUGCCUGAGCCGGUCUCCGGUUCCAGAGUCCCGUUUCUGCAAGAUCUGGCUUCUUGGCCCAGGCUCUUUGGGACCAGCGGAGGCCGGCCUCACGGUGGAUGGCGUCAGGCACUCACUCCCAGGCCAGGCUGCUGGGUUCGGGGACCGCUGGGGCAUCAGAGGCGGAGGGCUGGGAAGGGGUCUGUGCUGCUCAUCGGGGGUGAGGCUGGUGCCCCGUGGGCCUAUCCAGCAGCCGGCUCUCCCCUGGUGCAAGGUCAUGGAGGGCCCAGGGACAGUGGGCACAUCUGGGCUGCUGGGGGAGGCCCUCACUGCCUCCAGAAGGCCGCUGUGAGCUAGAGGGGGCCGAUUACCCAAGAUGGUAAAGACAGUAAACAAGAACUGAGAUCUCACCUCUCACAAGACAAUACCACAAAGCGCAGAGCAGAGGAAGAGCUCAAAGAAAUGAUGCAAAAGCUCUACCUGCGGUGGUGCCGUGCCUGCAGAGGUGUGCCGACCUUCAGGGCCCUGGGUCCCAUCUGGACCGCUCUGUCUCUCUCUCUCUGUCUCUCUGUCUCUCUCUCUGCAGCUGAGUGUGAGCUCUGUGCUUGCUCUCAGGCCCUCGGCCCGAGCUGGUACCCUGGCCCGACUCCAAGACUCCAAAGAGCAGAAAGGCCAAGCAGGGUUCUUGCUCCUUUGGGUCUUCAGAAGCUAUGAGUCAUAUGUUUGUAUUUUUAGCAACAUGCAGGAAUCUGCUGCAUAAAAAAGAAUUGGAGGGGACACUUGCAUCAUGAACAUAACAAAGGCAAUUAAUUUGGAUUCAACACACAGGGCUGGGGCCAACCAGCCAGUGUUCUUUGGUCCAGGAGAGAAAAGAGAAAGAAGAUCUAGUGGUGCUCCAGGGAUGGAGGCACCCCACAGAUGGAGGCCUCCCCCCACCCCGGGGAUUGAAGGUCCCCCCUAAGACUUUCCAGCGGGCACAGCCAGGAGCCCUGGGCACUGAGGACGUAGGCCUGGCGCAGGGCAAGCCUGGACCACCUGGAAAGGCCAAAGCAUGUGGAUUCCUUCCUCUCGAGUCAUCAGUCAGACCCCCGAAUGAGACGCAUGGUCUCUGGGAGUCCGGCCCAUCCUGAAGACAGGCUUCUUCCCUGUGACCACCCCAUGCUGGAGAGAUGCCGGGUCCCCCACUGCUCUUGGGAAAAGCUGAAACUUUGGACCUUGGCUUCCAAGAUUGUUCCUGAUCCCCCUCCAACCUCAUCGUACAUUGUAAACAUACAAAGUGCAGAUCGGCGACCUGCCACCAGCCUCCGCAUUGUCAUCUUUGCCAUGACCUUCCUCAAGGACCCCUUCCGGAAGGCGGUAUUGUCCAAGAAGAGUCCCAACUUAGAAGUUACAAAACAUCCUUUUUGGGUCUGCCCUGACAGUGAGCGAAUGUUGCUCCAACAUUUCUGGGCCUCAGUUUCCCUGUAUUAUCAUUUGACAGUCCACAUAAUGGACGGAGAAAGCAUUACGCACAUAAAGGAAGGGUAAAGCCAGGCCUUCCCCGCUUAUCUUACAGGCUUGCCCAGAGGACAAAGUGAACUGAAAAGGUGGAAGUCUCUCUAGUAAAUUAAAGAAGGUGAUACAAGUGAGUGAGUGGUAAUCCUUUACCUUGGGGAUUUGGCUGCUUGGACCCUGGAUGGGCCCGGCUUCCUGGGAUGAACCUGUUGUUCAGAGCAGAUCAGCUCCCUCUGCUCCUGGAAAGAAGGCAGGAGGUUUCUGGGGGCUGGAGCCAAGCAGAGAGGAGGGAGGGCCCUUGUCUGCCCCACGUCAUCAGUCCAGACUUGAUUCACCGCUCUCUGGGUGGCUCGUACCCUCGGGAAGACCGUCGGAGACCCCUGGACACCCAGCACAUGCAGGCCCCCGUGCGCAGAUGCCCAUUGCAGGCGACAGCAGCAUCUGAUCCAGGAGGGUGCUCCAGACUGGAGCUGGACCCGGCAGCCUUUGCCCAGGGCUCAUGAGGGGAAGCUGGCUGUGGCCUCAGGGACUCUCCUGGUGACCCCAAAACUGCCGAUUCAGAAUUCAUGCACUCUGUUAUCCUGCAGUACUACCCAUUGCAGGAGAAGUUCUGAUUGCUGGCCACUUGGCCAGGCCUGACCUGGACCCCACAAGCUGCAGAGGCAGGAGCUGACGGGGCCAUCCUGGUUGGCCUCCUCUAACCGAAUCCACACCAUGGUCAGACGGGUGGGGAAUGUGGAGACCCCGCUGUUCCAGCACCAGCCUUCCCUGGGAUCCCGCCAGCUGCCCUGUCCUGGUGGGCGACAAAGCCUCUGGCCUCUGUCCGGUGUGCGUAUCCUCGUCAGCAAACCGGCGCCUGGCUGGUUCAGGCCUCUCAGCCUCCCGAACCUGAUUUCACAACAGCUCUCUUGCCACUGGCCAAGUUAAAAAAAAAAAAUUAUAAAUAGCACAACAACGUUGAGUAAGUUCUUGAGAAAGUCAAAGCACUUGUGAGCCCUCUGCCCAACACAAGUGCCUCCCUCUUGGCCUCUUCCCUUCCCUGCGUCUCUGCGACACACAACCUCUCAUGGGCGCUGGUUGCCUCUUUUCAGCCUGCUUUGAUUUGAUCAAGUGGGAUUUUCUCAACUGCGACUGUGGAGUUAGCACCGUCCAGGCUCCCGGACGCAGACUCUCAAGCGCCCGGAUCUUCCCGCCUGGGAUGUCCUCCUGCAUGUGGACAGGCAGGCCGUGUGCAGGUGCUGUUCAGGAAGUCAGCAUGGGGCCUCUCAAGGAGAUGUGUCUUUGCCACCCCCCUCCCAGGGCCCACCAGGAAGACAAAGAAAUGACAAGUAUGAGCACCUGCUGUACACAGGCCAAGUCUCAGCCGGCAGAGUCUUCAGCCCCAAGAGGAUGCGACCGGCCUGGACCAAACGUCAGGUACUUAGCUGGCUUUGACCUGCUGCUGUGGAGUCACCCCUGUGCCCUGGGCCGUCCAGAGAGCCAGCGAGAGGUCAGCAGGAGGCCGGUGGGCAGCGUGACGCUGCUCUGGCCCAGGAUGUCGUUGGUGGAUACGUCUUCUGCCUCCAGUAUUUAUCGGGGGCUUGCCUACGCCCUUCUCUCAUCUGGAGAUCAGAGCCAGCAUCUGGGAGACACACGGUGCCCCCAGGGUGGUCUCCCUUGACCUCCACGUUGAAUCUGACAUGGAGCCUGACCAGUUACAUCUUUUAAAUAUUUCUUGGAUCUCUGCUUCUUUUCCGUUCCUAACACCAGGGUCCAAGUUCAGCCACCGAACUUUGUCCCUUUGGUGUUAAUUCAACUCCAAGCCCUGGCUGGCAGACAGUUGAGGGAGAAUCUGAAUCUGGCCUCAUCUGCCCCAGCUCAGAGCCCUUUGGGGAUGCUCCGUUGUCUCCAGGGAAAAGCUGGGUUGCUGGGUGUGGCAUUCAAGGUCCCCCUGCCCGUCUGUCCUAACCCCAUCAACCCUUCCAGCUUUGUCUCCUGUACUCCCUGCCUUUUAUGGGUCCACGGAAGCCAAACUGCCCUGGGGCCCCCGGCUGCCCACCGCAUACUUUCCAUUGUUAACUUUGCCCCAUGCCUCAGAGCCUUGCUUGGCCUGGAAUGUCCUUCCCACCUCUACUAUCUUGUGCACCUGUAAUUUGUCCUUUCAGACAGCUGAGGCAUCAUCGGCUCCUCCAUCUCCUCCGUGUGCAUUUCCAAAUCCUCAGGUUGGGCUUGAUGCCCCCAGGUCGCUCAUGGGCAUCCUGUUGCUUGCCCAUGUGUGUGGAACAACCAGUUAAUAGGCCUACUGAGGGCUGGCAUGGCCAUCUCUGAGCCCUCAGCACCCACAGAGUCUGGCAAACAGGGACUUUUUUGCUCCGGGCAAAAGUCUGCCAGGCAAAUCCCUGAGAGAGAGGGGAGAGCAGCCUGCAGGCCCCUUCCCCUGGCCAUCCCUGCACCUGCACACGCUAUGGCCCUUGGUCCUAGAAUGCCCACUUACACUUCCUCUGUGCACCAGUCAGACCUGGGAUGACGCUGAUGGAGAAAUGCUUGGUGGUCCCAGAGCCAAGUACCCAGGUGCUUUUUCGGACAGUGGUGGAAAGUGGGUUAUAGCUGUAGGUGGUCUGGAAAACAUCCAGAAGUCAUCAAGAAGUUCCUCGGCCCAGUGGUACCGCCCUUGGUGUGCAUCAACUGGUCAUUUUAACAAGUGGCUCAGAACAGAUGUGCGCAUCAAAAUUUGUAGGGCAGGGGAGAUUUGAACAUCACCAGGGGGGACUGCCGGUAGUUUGGGGGUGGACACUCACUGUCUGCUCCCUGCUGAGGUCAUCUGGUUCCCUUCCAAAUGGGGACUCAGGGGAACCUGGCUACCUCUGCCUGUCUAUCCCCCAGGUCAUCACUGAGGUUUUUUUUUUGUUUUUUUUGUUUUUUUUUAUGAUAGUCACAGAGAGAGAGAGAGAGAGAGGCAGAGACACAGGCAGAGGGAGAAGCAGGCUCCAUGCAGGGAGCCUGAUGUGGGACUCGAUCCCGGGACUCCAGGAUCACGCCCUGAGCCAAGGGCAGGCACCAAACCGCUGCACCACCCAGGGAUCCCAAUCACUGAGUAUUCUUAAAGGAAAGUGUGUCUCUACUCAUCAGGCUUGGAAAACACAGAUAAUCCCCCAAAGGUGGGUGGUUUGCAUGGAUGUUUGUGAGGGCACCGUGCUCACCCACCAUGAGGUCAGGAGCAUCAGGUCCCUGCGCGGGGGCCCGACCUUCUCUCCUGUUGCCCAACUAUCUCCCCCACACCCAGGCCAGGUCUCUGCCAGGAGCGUGCAUCCGGCCUAUUGCUGCACAUGCACGCCUAACGGAAGUAUAGUGCGAGCCACAUCUGGAAUUGCACAUUUUCUAGUAGCCGUGUUCAACAAGUAAAAAGAGAGAGACAAAAUUAAAUUCAAUAAAACAUUUUAUUUAA